CAAAUACCCGCUUUUAAAAUUAAGUUGUGGGUUGUUAGAAUGUAUAGUCUUUGUGGGGAGAAAGACUAUACAUUCUAACAACCCACAACUUAAUUUAAAAAGCGGGUAGUG